UAUUUGUUUACCACUUAGAACACAGGAUGUCAGCGCCAUCUUGUGACGGCGAAUGUGGGGGCGGCUCCCAACAAAACUUGCACAGCACGAAUGAUCCACUUUGUUAUUUGUUUUAUUUAUUUUUGUCUAGGGGUGUGUGUGUGUGUGUGUGUGGCCAUUAUUGGGUGUCUUCUUGAAAUAAUCCACUUUAAAGUGACCUGUUCUGAAUGGGCCAUUGAGAUGACCUAGUGGGUAGAGGUGCUUGCCCCCAGUCCUGAUGGCUUGACCUUAAUUCCUGAGACCCACACAGGAGACCCACACACUUAGGCUACAUGGUAUGUACCUGCCCACCCCCUCCCCACAAAACACAAAUGAAGAAAUCAAAAAUAUCUUUAAAAUGAACUACUCUGGCAUUCAGUGUUGUAGUGAACAACCACCACUUCUGACUAGCUUAAAAACCAUGUGUCACCCUGCACCCACUGAAUAAUUAUCCUAUUUCUUCCUAUUUCAGCUCUUGACGGCCACAAGUUUGCCUUCUGUCUGCAUAUUUACCCAUUCUAAAUAUUUUACAUAAAUGCGGUCUUUUAUAUUUGAUUUUGGUCACGGAGCAUAACAUUUUGUUUGUUUAUCUACCUGUGAGUGUGUGCCUGAACAACAGUUCACUGCAUAGAUAGAUGCACCAGUUGUCCAUGGAUGGACGUUCGAGCACCUUGGUCUUUUUGGCUGCCCUGAACAGUACUGCUGCUAGAAGCAACCACACAGUGACACAGCGGUUCUGUCUUGGAUGUAUCCUAUAGCUCUGAGAAGGAUGUUUAUAUUACAACAGCUUUAUUCAUAAAGCGUUGGAAGUGUCAUGUCUUGAAAGGGGUCCUGUUUACAUGAGGUAUAUACUCACUGAGUUGAAACCAACGAUAAUGUUUGAUUUCACUGUUGGCAAAUUUUAACUCAUUUUACAAGAAAGAAUAGAGCAAACUGUGAAUCCUAAUUUUCAGCAACUCCAGCUGCUGUGCCAAACUAGGGGAACAGGAAUAGAAGGAAAGUAGUUAGCUGUACUUAAGGCUUGAGAUGCAGUGGUAGCUCGGCUCCUGGGGUAAUCGUGGGCAUGGGUGGAUAAUGGGAUUCUUGGUGUACUUUGAAGGUUGAGCUGAUUGGCUAUGUUGACAGGUAUGAUGGCUGGCUGAUGGACAUGGAUACAUUGUCAGGAAAGACAGUUGUAAAGGGUGCUAAGAGUUUUGAUGGGGGCGGAGCUGCCAUUUAAUGAGCCGAGAGAGCCUGCGGGCAGAUGCGUGGGAAGGUGGGGAGUCUUGAGUUUGCACAGAAACCUGCCAGCGAUUAGGAAUCAACUUAGGACCAGAAAUAUAAAAUACAGAGUUGUCGGUGUGGCACUCAAGAUUGAACAAGCGCUAACAGAGUGAGUGGGCAAAGCAAAUCUAGGUGCCAAAUUCCAGGAAGCAGAUGGAUGAAAAGAAGCCAGUAAAAGAGAGGGAUGGAGGGCAGAGGCCUGGCGAGUGUGUGAGGAGUAAGUCAGAGUGGGGUGGCAUGCUCUUGUCACUGUCUCCCUGUCAGGAAGGUAGCUGGUGGAGGUAUUUUAAAGCCAUGUUUAGAGCACCAACUAGAGUACCUUGUUUAGAGACUGGUGCCUGAGAUUAAUUUACCCUGUGCCGUUAAAUGUAUUUUAGGGAACUGCUUGCUCUGGGUUCUGUGUUCAAUAAACAAGCGUUUCAUGAUCAUGUUGGUCCCUCUGUGGCUUGCUCUCAUGAAAAGGGUGCGUUAAGCAAUUGAAUCAGUUAUCUGGCUUCCUGGGAUUGUGUACCAAUCUCCAACAAGGUUGUUUGCUGGGAAGAGUGGUAGUUACUGGUUACAGGACUCGUCCCUUCAAUGUUACUCACUAAGCCCUGCAUUCUGGGUAGAGUCCAUAACAAGGGAGUUCAGAGAUAGCUCAAAUGGAGUCCGAGAGGAUGUCAGCUUCUUAGAAGUUCAAGUUACUGUAGUCCUCUUUGGGGACAGAGAGUGCUUUUCUCAGGAGACAUAGCCCUGAUGUGCAAGCCUGAUAGUAAACAUAUGUGAGACUUUCCUUAGUUUGGAUUUUUAUUUUGACAACCAGGAAAAUGGAAAAUGAACUAAAACAUGAAUGAAAGAGUUUUAUUCUUUUUUUCUGACCUCCUUCCCUCCCUUCUAUUUCCUUCCCUCUUGUUUUCUUUGUUUUGAGAGGAGAUCUAGAUAGCUCUGUAGCUCUAGCUGGCCUGGUGCUUGCUGCAUAGCACAGGCUGCCUUCCCCACCAGCUCUCUGGCUUCAGUCUUCUGAGUGCCAGGACACCUGAACAUCCCUUCUCUCCUUUCUUUUGCCUUAAGUGUCAAGGUAGCGCUUGUCAGAGGCCAGACCUAUCUGUUGGUUGUAAGAAAUACAGAAAGGCUGAAGUUCCUAGCAGGCUGCAGGCCAUUGGACACAAGCAGGGAAGCACCGUAGUGGUAUUGUCUUGUUCAUAGAAAUGUGUUCAGUGUGGUGAACCUGGCAUUAGCCAUCAUAACAGGAUCCUGGACAUUUUAUGAGGGUUGCUGACUGGAAGAAGGAUCAGAUGGUAAAGCACAGAGUAGGUGUGUGGAUGGGGAAGGGAGUUGAGGAUGGGGAAGGAGAAUAGAGUAGGGUCUCCAUGUGUCCAGCUUAUAGCACAGCCGAGGAUUGUGGCUUCUCUCUUUAGAUCAAGAGGUCAGAGCCAGUAUCAGGAGGCAGAAAUUACUGGACAAUGCAAACCUUCAACUCCAUAUACCUACAGUGAAUAUGGGUAACCUUUCAAUCUGCCUGAUGCCUCCUUUGUCUUGGUGGGAACUUGACUUUAUAAUCUGCCCUCCCUGUACCACUUUAUCUUUCAGGUGGGGCAGAACCUAGCUGGAGUCUGUGUAAGUGAAAAGGAGAUCCAGGUUCAUUUCAGACAGUCAGGCUGGAACUCUUUUCCCGGCCAGUGACUGGCUGAUACAACUGUGGUCAAGGCAUAACAGAGGCUGUGUAUUUUAUUUUUUUAUUAAAGAAAUUCAAGAGAUUAGUGAGAGAGAGAGAGAGAGAGAGAGAGAGAGAGAGAGAGAGAGAGAGAGAUGUGUGGGAACCCACAGGGUCCAGAAGAGGGUGUCAGAUCCUGGGGAUGGAGUUAUAGGUGGGGUGACUGCUGGGUAUGGGUGGGUAACUCUGGUCCUCUGAAAAGGUUGAAGUACUCUUAACCCUGGAGCCAUCUCUGCAGCCCCGGGACUUUGUAUUUUAAAGGAAAGGAUUUAUUUAACCCACAGUAGUGAGGUUUAGGGCUUGUGCUGGCAUGUGCUCAGUUGGUGAGCAUCAACUGUGGUGUUCCACCAUGAUGGAAAUGUAGAAAAGGAAGUGAGUGCAUUUGAGGAGCAGGACUGGUUCACAGCUACCCACUCUCAAUGCCUGCCUGAUGCCCUUUCUUCACAGUCAGUGAAGGGGCCCCUCCACAGACUCCAUAUGCGUCUCAGUGGAGACUAAGUAUUCAGAAGAUGUGCUGGAGAUCUUGGGACACAAGGAGUCUCCCUUUAAAAAAAGAUUGAAAACAACAGAGAAAUUGUUCUAGUGGACAUGGCCAGAUGUGCACACCAAGCCUGACCAGCUGGGAGGUCUCUGGAGCUAAUCCAUCCCUGUGUGCUGAUGCAGAGAGAAGCUGGGUCCCAGAUGAUCUUUAACACUUUCAAGGGGCUGGACUUGGGGACUUACUGAAUGACACAGCAGGUGAGUCAGCCUCUGAGUGAAUCCAUUAACAUAACAACAGGGUGGGUAGACCAGUUUCUAAGGGCUGCUCUGAAGUGGUUCUCCAGGGAAAGGGUGGCCACAAGAAGACAUGGGAGUCCAGCACUGGCUGAGUUUAGGAAGACUAGGUUUAUGUCCUUCGUAACUGGGAGACUCAGGGUUUGCCAUUCUCUUUGCACAGCAGACACCUUCUGAGGUUGAAUCUUGGAAGGAGGUGACGUCAACCUCAACUGCAGGACUCUGCUUCUGGUCAAGGGCCUGUGUCGAGCAUACACCCACGCCCCACAGGCCUUAAUUAGCUCAGUAUCUGUUCUCUGUGUAAUCUGUGCUUUUAAAGCUUGCAGAGAGGGGAAGGUACUUUACCAAACUUUUUUGUUGUGAGGGUGCAUUGGUUUAGGGAGAUGGGUUUCAUAGGAUUAGAUGUCAAAGAUUUAAUUGUAGUAACUUAAUAACAUUUAUCACUUAGUUGUUCCUCUCAGAAAAUAGGUCAUUUACUCAAGCUUUGCUAGUAAGGAGUGCUUCAGGGGAUGCAAUGAAAUGUUACAACUUUGGAAGUGAUAACAGCGUAGACAUUUCUUUGGAACUUGAAAUUUCUGUGCAAUUUGAAUUGAGACUACUUUCUUUAUUAUGUUGAAGUCACAAGAGCAAUUUCAGCAGCCACAAGAGGAACAUGAAAGUAGGUAGGUGUGUCUGCUGGGGAUUUGUGAGUCUUCCUUCUGAUGGUAAAUGUCCGUCCAGGCCCACCCUUCCACCCUGCCUAUUGUUACUGGUCAUUUUUCUAAUGACACUACAUCUUUUACCUGUGUGCUUGCUUGCUUGCUUGCUUAUUUAUUUAUUUAUUUAUUUAUUUAUUUAUUUAUUUAUUUAUUUAACUCUGCCUAGCUCCAAGCUGUUGGUUAAUGGGGGACAGUGUGUCUGGCAUUUCCUGUCUCUUGAUGUAGCAUUGCAGUUUUUAUGCACGGUGCCUUUGUGUUGUUCUCAGGAAGCUGUAUUGAUCUUUCCUGGGGAGCGACAGACUCCAGAGCGUGGUCAUUAUGACUCUGCAGUGAAGCUUAUCAGUUCUGUGUUUCCUGCCUAGGAAGCGGCCCGCCAUCUGCUCUGCAGUAAUUAUUCUCAUAUGCAACCAUAGAAUUGUGUUUUGGAGACCUUAAUGUGUUACGUUCCCCAGCUCCCUUAUUUAAACACUUUAACCACCACCAUCCCUAGAAAUGUUGGCCUUGAUAUGCCGUGAAAAUUGUGCCCUGCUGCCAUGCCUCUGCCAAGGCUUCUCACAUGGGUGGCUUGCUGGUCUGCCUUCCCUCCACUGUGUGCUGACUCAGCUCCACUCUGGUGUUGCCGUCUCGAGGAUAAUCGCUCAGAGCACGCUGUAUUUCAUUACGUGCCAGACCCCAGGACCAGGGCAGCCAACCUGCUGUAGCUCUAGCCUUUGCCCUGCCGUCCUUCUCCUGUGGCUCCCAGUGCUGCCUUCUCCCUCUGCUUCUCAUUCUUGUCUCACCUCAGCCAACCCUAAAGGGUUCUUGUGUGGGUGGAACUUGGUUUCUGUCAUUGCUUAACCAGUUGAACGAUCAGUUGCAGGACUUUCUUGAGCCAUGACAGAUGUAUUCUCAUUCUGUUGAGGAGCCAACGUAUGGCUGUAAAUAUUAGUGGGGUUCAGUUUGUUGUCUCCACAUGUAUCUAACACAUCCUGCUCAAGAUAGGAUGAUAUAAAUUGUUUUGCUAUUCUGUGAAGCAUGGGCCUACAUUUUUCAUCAUAUUGAUUGAUUAAUUGAUUAAUUGAUUGUGUGAGUGGCACAUGUGCCAUGGUAUAUGCUUGAUGGUCAGAUGACAACUUGCAGAAGUCUGUGCUUUCCUCCUUCUGUCUCGUGAGCUCCAGAAUUGAACUCAGGUCAUCAGGCUUGGUGGCGAGCACCUUCAUCCAUUGAGCCAUCUUGCUAGCCCAACUUUUUAAAAAAAUUAUCAAAUGUUGUUUCCUUAUGCUAUUUGAUAACGUGUAAUCACUCCCAUUAUCCUUUCUUGCACCCAUUCUAUGCUGAUCACAAACACUCCCCCCUUCGACCUUUUAUCCUGUUUUGAAUUUAGAUUCCACAUCUAAGAGAAUGCUCACCUGUUUUUCUGAAUGUGACUUAUGUAACAAAAUUUCACUUUUCUUUAUGACUGAAUAAAAUUCCGUUGUGUAUGUAUUUGUUCAUUUAUCUGUUGGCUGAUGCCUGGGGUAAUUUUAUAACUUGGGAAUAAUGCUGUAAUAGUGUGUGUGUGUGUGUGUGUGUGUGUGUGUGUGUGUGUGUGUAGAGCAUCAUAGAGUAUGUGGGCUUAAAGUUUAAAAUCCUGAAUCAAUACAGCACUCGAGUAAGUUGCCUAUUUUAUAGCUAUAAAGAACAUACCUGCAUGUUUAUUUUUUCUGCUUGAUGUUCCUAGUAUGCCAAACAUUAUUAGUGUUGUAUGUGGUUUCAGACAGUUGGGCGUCUGUGAUUCCACGGUGGUUGUGGGAGCUGCUGGCUGAUGCAGACUGUGUCCAUCUAGGAUGGUGGUAUUAAAAGUUUUCCCAAAAAUUUCAUUUAGAUUUUGAAUUCUGGCUGCUAUUGUUUGGUUGUUUUUGUUAUUUAGAAGUAGUUUGUAUCUAGUGUGUUUAAACUCGAGGUAUGUAAUAGUGACAUAGCUGCAUUUGUGACAGCUACUGGUGAAGAUACAGCUAGCUGGUCAGGGCUAGUCUUCUGGGGAGCAUCAAGUGUCAUCUCACUUUAUAUACAUUUUCAUGUGUGUCUUUUAAAAGUCCUGCCUAUUAGUAUACUUAGUGUGUACUUAGUUAGCUGUGUGUUUAAUAGUACGUUAGCUGUCAGUUUAAGCCUCUGAUUGGGAGAAAACAUUACACAGAUAGAUGAGAGAUAGAAAUACAUGUCCCAGGGACUCACCAACAGAGCAGGGUGCUCCAUGAGUCGGCACAUUUUUAGGAUUGACUAGAAUGACACGCACACAAGCUGUAUGUAGACAUGGAGUUUUUGUCAGGUGCUCACUCCUUUACAAAUGCCUGCUUAAUCCCAUGCACUGUUGGUGGGAACAGAAAGUGAUAUGGCCGUUGUGGGAAACAGUAUGGCUGUUUGUCAAACAAAGGAAUGGAAUUACUAUACAAUCCAGAAAUUUCACUUCUGGCUAUCCAUACUAAAAAACGGGAAGCAAAUACUUAGACAGAUAUUCAGGCAACUGUGUUCACAGCAGCUGUAGCUGAAGGUGCAGGCAGCUGCAGAGCCCCUGCAUGAGUGAGUGGAAUAUGAUCCAGCUUCGGGAAAGAAGUUCUGCUGUGCGUACUGCACCUUGUGCUGCUGUACUGAUGAACCUUGAGGACAUUAUACAGUGAGCAGGCCACAGGACUCCUAAGCAUUGUGUGCUUCCACUUUGGAGGCACCCGGCGUCGGCAGCCAUCAAGUCAAAAAGGAGGGAAGAUGAAUGGCUCAGUGGCGGGACUUGGGCUUUGCAAGGUGAAAAACUUGGUGGAGAUGGUCUCAUAACCAUGUGAGUGUACUCAGUCCCACGGAGCUGGGUGCCUAUGCAAUGAUUAAGAUGGGAAACCAAGCUGUAUCAGUUGCAGAGUGUGCUUUAGGAAGGUAAAAUGACCAUGGUAUUGGGAGGUGAAGAGGCUCUGUGAAGCAGAUGACACAAAGAUGGCAGAAUGUUGGUACCUAUGAAGAGUGGGUGAGGGUUAUCAGUCAGGGUCAACUGUGCUGCUCUGUUUAUUUUAAAGUUCUUGUUGUCAUUCAGUUAAGAAGACUACUUGCCUUUUCCACGACCAAUGAGUGAGUGCCUCAAGAAAUGGAGAAGUGAGCUGGCAUGAGAUGGAGCUGGUCUGCUCCUUAGAGCAGGAGGCUGAGGGGAGAGCAACUGGAGAGCGAGGGAGGGCAGGUUUUCUGCAGACAGUUAAUUUUGUGGUGCCCAAGUGGAACCAACCCCUUCAGUUUGUUUUCUGAUUUACACACGUGCACCAUGACAUAGGUGUGUGCCUAUACACUAAAAUAAGCCUCUCCCUCUCCCUCUGUGUGUGUGUGUGUGUGUGUGUGUGUGUGUGUGUGUGUAAGUUGGCAAAGAGGGGGCUGAAAAGAUGGCUCAGUGGUUAACAGCAAGUACUGUUCUUACAGAGUUUAGUUCCCAUCACCACACUGGGCAGCUCAUAACCCUCUGUAGUUCCAACCCUGUGGGGAUCAGUUAGUUACCUCUGGCCUGGCGGCAUUUGCAUUCCGGUGCGUAUAACACCCAUGUACAUAACUAAAAAUGAACCCUUAAAAGGCUAGCAAAAGGGCUGGUGAGAUGGCUCAGUGGGUAAGAGCACCCGACUGCUCUUCCUAAGGUCUGGAGUUCAAAUCCCAGCAACCACAUGGUGGCUCACAACCAUCUGUAACAAGAUCUGACUCCCUCUUCUGGAGUGUCUGAAGACAGCUACAGUGUACUUACAUAUAAUAAAUAAAAAAAAAAAAAAAAAAAAAAAAAAAAAAGGCUAGCAAAAAAUAGCUUGCUUCAUUAGUAGAAUAAUACUGUUUUCUAAAAUAACUUUUGUAUUUCCUUCUAAAUUUGUAUUCAUAAUUCUAGUGAAAUAUGAGUCUAUUUUGUCCUACCUAACAGAAUAAGGUGAGAUUACUUGGUGCUUCUUUUCAUUUACUAGAUUGUAUUAAUAAUAAUUUCUUUUCUAUAAUGUAAAAAUGGCAUUGGCAAGAAACUUUUAGCAUCUACUAAAAUGUCAAAAUGGAAAGAAGAGAGUAUUUCGUGAAGUUUGACAAUGAACCACAUACAACCCAAGGGAAGAGGCUGCCAGCGAGUGACAGGUGUGAGAGUUGGUAGCACAGUGACACUGGCAGCAGUUUAACACAGGGGCAGCACUCACAUCCAGGGGCAUAGGAGCCGUAGCCAGGGCAAACCCAGCAGGGGCCUGUGCCUCAAGCUCAGGUCAGGAACAGGAGUGGUGACAUCAGAGCAGAGUCUCUGUCUGGGCACACUCAGCUGGCCCUAGGACAGUGGUCCUGAGGGUCGCAACUCCUUGGGCAAGCCUGUCUUUAAAAAUAUUUACGUUUCAAUUCAUAACAGUACCAAAAUUACAGAUAUGAAGAAGCAAUGAAGAUAGUUCUGUGGUUGGGGGGUGGCACCACACCAUGAGGAGCUGUAUUAAAGGAUCUAGCAUUAGGAAGGUUGAGAACCACUGCUUUAGGGGAUAGAGGGAAGCCAAGAGCUAGAGAUGAAGGUACUGAAUUCAGUUCUGGCAUUGUUGAUGGCAACCCAAGUUGCUCACACCUAUUAACUGAGUUAGGGCAGGUUUUCUUCAAAAUUGUCUUUACAUUGCCCAGCCUGAUGUGUGGGCGAUGUAGGAAAAGAUACCACAUUUUGGUCUCAGUUCCUACCUGGGAUGCUAAUAUUCAUCCUCUGCUGAGCCACCUCCUGUCCAGCCUUUAUGUCUUAACUCAGACAGUCUUCUUCCCAGUCCUCAGUCAGGACUGUGUGUGAUCCAGAACCUGCGGAAAGACGGGGCCCAGAGAGGUCCAGAGAGGCGGGGCAGAAGGCCAGUGGGGUCCUGACGAAGUCCUUCAGGCAUACCCUUCAGCCCUAGUGCUUUUCCUUCAUGAAAAGUAACAUUUCACACCAUUGAGUGUGCCUGAUGGUUUGUGCAAUGAAAGCAGACAUCCCUAGCAGUCUCAUGUUAGUUACAUGCCGUGGUGUAGUCAGUUUCCGGUAAACACUUAAUGAGUGAUUCGAUGCUAUCGGAAUGUGUCAGUCAAGAAAUUGGUGAAUGGAGGGGAUUGGGGGUUGUUCUAGUGUUGGCAGCAUGAUGUGCUUAUGGGUUGGAAGGAAAAUGGAAAGGGGAGGAAGGGGUGGAAUAAUGUGUUCAGGGGACUUGAGCAGAGAGCCUGAGAAGGGAGGCCUUUGUGUUGCCUUGAGGGAGAGGGCUAUCAGUAGCAGCCUGCCAUGGACAUAUGCUGUUUGUGUGGGUGAGAGCCUCAGGACAGGUGCCUGUGGCUUUCUCUAAACCUCGUGUGUAUUUGUGGUCAGAGCAGUAUGGCAUAGUUCUAUUUAAGAUCAUCACUUGGAGUUGGAUUCUGAUGACAUCAGUGUGCCUGUGCUUCCUGCCAUCCGGUUCAGGUCUGAUCGGUAUUGAUUUGGGGGCAGCUCUGAGGACUGUGAAGUCAACAAGGGGGCUUUCUGCAGCAUGUUUAGCUGGACUCCUACUUGAGAGGCAGGUUUUCUUCCCUGAUAUAUUACUGGGAGGUUUGUCUCCAGUCCUGUAUUUCAUUUGUAAGGAAGGAUAGAUGUCUCAGAAUAAGACAUGAUGGAACAUACUUGCAGAGGUGCAAUCCUUGAGAGGUCCAGCAACAGCAUGGGGUUUCUAGAUUGUUUGCAUCUUUGGGUGGAAGAUUUGCCUAGUGAUUCUCACUAAUUUUAUAGCACACACUGUGUUAUUGAACAGCCUAAGACCUUGGAAGGAAAAAGCUAAGCCUUGUUACAUGCCCUGUAUGUACUGGAGUCAGUAGAAUAAGUAUAUGCUGGAGUUGUGCAGACUGAAGGACAUUAGAAGAAGCAUGAAGUGGCCAAGUUCAAGAAGCAUGGUGGCCAGGCCACACCAGCAGUUCUCAUCCCCCUAGUCUUUGCCACGCCAGCUUCUCUCUAGCGGUGCAUGAAUUCUCAUGUUCACAGUGUCUCACAUUAGACAUGACUGAGAGCCAGCAGUUUCUGUUCAUUUUUAAUAUAAUCUGCGGAAUUUUGAAAUGCUUAGUAAAGUACCCAGGUAAAAAUUUUGCUAGAAAAGUAAUAAUUGUUCAGGAUACAAAAAUUAUACUCUAGAACCACAAAGCAGUCGGUGAAAAGCCGUUUUCCUGGGAUAACAGCGUCUCAGCCAGCCAUCCACAGAGUGCAAUUCUUUCCUGUCUACUCUUUUCUUACUCUUACUUUUUGCCCUGCUUUAAAUAAGCAAUUCACUGUGUUUCUAUUCAGCAGCAGCAGCAGCACCUGUGCACCUUCUAAUGUACCCAGGGCGUGUUUCCAUAGCAGCAGGAGAGGUGGCAGCUUCAUAUCUGCUUCAUUGUGGUUUUACAUGUUUUAACAGUAAUGCUACCAUAUACCCGUUCUGUAUCGCUUGGAUGAGUCAAUGCUUGCCUUCCCUGGAGAAGCACGCCAGUUCCCAUGUUCCCAUGUUUCACUGUGGUUGAAACCAAGAGUUCAGAAAACUGCUUCUUAUUGCUCAAUAUUGUACUUUGCUUUCUCACCCUCGUAUGUAUGUAUGUACAAAUACAUGUGUAUAGAAGUAAAAAUGUUAACUUUUUUGUUUUAAUUUUAUUAGUGUCAUUAAACAUAAAAAUAAAUAUAUCAUAAUUUCAGAAAAAUGAAUGAAGUAUUAUUUUGACUUUGUAGUCCAGACUUGGAAUUCGAUGAUUGUUACUUUUCCAGCUUUUAAAAGGACAGAAAGGGAGUCUUCCAGGGAGACUGCAGCUGUGUGACUGUGUGCAAGCAUGUGUGCGCUCAUUUUUUCUGAAAUCAAGUUGCUUCUGAUACUUUAUAUUUUAGUGUCAUAUUAGAGGCUUCAUUUCAUGAUCAUUUGUUCAUUCACGUGUGUUUUUAUUUUUAGCUCUAAGCAAAAGACAUGAGGCCUCAGCUGAAUUGAGGUGGCUUUGAGGUCAUCCGAUUUCUAGACGUGUGCGGUCACCUGGUCCUGAGAGCCCUCCACACAGAAUGGUUUGCAAUUUUUUUUGGUGAUGGCAUGUUCAGAAUCUUGGAUCCCUAAAUUGAAUGUUGGAAAUAUGUAGGAGCCUUGGAAAUUAUGUUGUUUUUAUAUAUUAAUGUCUUGGUAGGUGAAUUAGUAGACUAAUAAAUGUAUGUAAAGGAACUCCACACUUGUAAGGUGACAGGUGUGUCUCAGGACUGUCCCCUGUCUGGGUGCUGUGCUCUGGAGACAGCUCUGCCGUGCAGCUUCUCUGUGGCCCUCUCACUAUCCUGGGCAGGCUGUGGGAUUCCUGCCAUGCUGCUUUGGUUAGCUGGUUUGCUUUCCUGCAUCUAUUGCAGUGUGAGCUCCUUAGAUCAUAGGGAUCAUUGAUCAGGAGUUUUGAAGAGAAGAAAAAGCAUCAAGUGACAAUCUUAAAUGCAGUGACUACAGAAUUCCUACCUGGAAAUCAUCUCACAAGCCGUUCUGGUAUGUGAUCCUUCUUGAGUUUGUCAGUUGGGAGGAGACACCCUUUGCCUUCUGUUCUGACUCGGUAGCUGCCUCUGGCUUGCACUACUCAAAAUCUCAUUUGUUAGAGGUCCAUUUGGACAGCUCUUGUGGUUUCACAUCCACAAGAAAAGAGGGUCCUGCAUGCCUCAAGUACAUGGCUUCCUGUGGACCAUAAACACAUCAAGUACAAGGGGUUCCAGGACCUGCUGGACUUCUGCUACACUGCCGUGCUCAUCCUUCCUGGGUAACUCCAUCAUGGUUCCUUCCAGCUCCUCAGAGUGGUCCUGCUUGGCUCCUGAGUCCACACAGAAGUAUCAAUACGUAGUUCACCCCUCUUCUUUACCCUCGUUAGGUUGCGUUCUGCUGAUAACAGGAGCUUCGUGUCGCCUUGAUGAGGGACUCAUGCCUGAUGUAUUUCCAUCCUCCUUCCUGAAGAGAAGCAGCGCUUUAGACAUAGGGGCCUUGGCUGUCUGAGGAUUGUCUCUAGAAAGUUCACAGCACUGUGUUCUAAAUGUGGCCUCUCAGUGUGCUGGUCACUGCCAUUGUGGUUGCCAAGGAAAUCUUUCUCAACUGCCAUGCACUGAGCCUCAGAAGCCCAGUGUGCCUCAGGCAUGGGAAGAUCCAGAGUUGACUUAUGAGUAUGGAAGCUUGCUAGGACCUGAAGAGAGCCAGAGACACUCCUGUAGAGAAAGUGUCUGUGUCAGCAAGAUUUGUCCAGAACCGUUGACCAACUUUUUAAACCCACAUGAGCCCGCAUUGAACCUAUGCAGACUAUCCAGUGCAUGUGUAUAAGUCAUCAUUUAAUCUUUUGAAAAGUGGGUUACACUAACCUAAGUUUUUUACAUAUAAAUUUCAGAAGCAAUACAGAUGUGUUUUGUGGAAAGGCUAUAUAUACUGCUUGUAAUAAAUUUCUGACUCUUGCUUAAUAAAAAUUAAAUGGCCCAAUUAUGGAAAACCCAA